UACGUAGGUGGCAAGCGUUGUCCGGAUUUACUGGGCGUAAAGAGCGCGCAGGCGGUCGUUCAAGUCGCGUGUGAAAGCCCCCGGCUCAACUGGGGAGGGUCACGCGAUACUGAUCGACUGGAAGGCAGGAGAGGGUAGUGGAAUUCCCGGUGUAGUGGUGAAAUGCGUAGAUAUCGGGAGGAACACCAGUGGCGAAGGCGACUACCUGGCCUGUUCUUGACGCUGAGGCACGAAAGCUAGGGGAGCAAACAGG
rnacentral:rRNA from 1 species